GACGAACGCUGGCGGCGUGCUUAACACAUGCAAGUCGAACGGAGUGGCGAACGGGUGAGUAACACGUGGGUGACCUGCCCUGCACUUCGGGAUAAGCCUGGGAAACUGGGUCUAAUACCGGAUAGUGUGGGAUGGGCCCGGGGCCUAUCAGCUUGUGGGUGGGGGAAUGGCCUACCAAGGCGGCGACGGGUAGCCGGCCUGAGAGGGUGGACGGCCACCUUGGUCCUGCGACACGGCCCAGCAUCCUACGGUAGGCAGCAGUGGGGAAUCUUGCACAAUGGGGGGAAGCCUGAUGCAGCGACGCCGCGUGGGGGAUGACGGCCUUCGGGUUGUAAACUCCUUUCACCAUCGACGCGGUAGAUGGAGAAGAAGCACCGGCUAACUACGUGCCAGCCGCCGCGGUAAUUC
rnacentral:rRNA from 1 species